CGCGCAAGGCUUAGUGUGUGCCGAGCGCCGAGCAGAGUGUGCACGAAGGCCGAUCCAGCAGGAGCUCUCGGCAGGGGCGCUCGGUGCGGCUGGCGCGCGGCCUACGUUGUAAAUUGUUGUACAUUUUAACGUGUUUGUAUUUCGUGUAUCAGUAUUUAUUAUGUACGUUAUACGUGUUUAAAUAAAACAUAAGCAGUUCAUAACAGUUGGAGUGAUGUGUGAUUUCUUGUGCCCCGUACUUUGCUCGUUUACGUUUUGUGUCGUGGUCCUUCUUCUUCAAUUAUGGAAUGAUUUAUCUUUGUAAAUUUCUAAGUUACAGUGCACGCGCAUGUUAAUCGACGGUUGCCAACAUCCCGCAAAACGAUCGACGGAAGGAAAACGGUGUCCGGUUUUAAAAUAUCAAGUCAGUCCGUGACGUCAUUUCCAGACAGGCGCCGGCUGAACACGCGCAGCACCAGUCGAGGAUAUCCUAGCGCAGAGGGUAGAAGGAAGAACGAGAGGAAGGGUAACAGAAAGCAACCGCAGCAUUUGGAAGGGGUGAAGCAUCCUUCCGUAUACAGAGUGUGAGUGUGCCAAAACGCACGUGGAAAGAGUAACAUGAAUAAAUAGCAUGCGAAAGUGUGCAUAAAGCAAAAAGAAAAAACGUCACUACUACAACCAGCAAUCCGAAAA